rnacentral:rRNA from 1 species
UCCUAUCAGGUAGUUGGCGGGGUAAUAGCCCACCAAGCCGAAGACGGGUAGCGGGUGUGAGAGCACGGCCCGCAACAUCGGAACUGAGACACUGUCCGGACUCCUACGGGAGGCUGCAGUAACGAAUCUUCCGCAAUGGGCGAAAGCCUGACGGAGCAAUGCCGCGUGCGGGAUGAAGUAUCUCUGGUAUGUAAACCGCUGUCAGGGGGCAGAAACAAUGAUUGCCCCCAGAGGAAGUGGCGACUAACUCUGUGCCAGCAGUCGCGGUAAUACAGAGGCCACAAGCAUUAGUCGGAAUCACUGGGCUUAAAGGGUGCGUAGGUUGUCCAUCAAGUGUUUUGUGAAAUCCCACGGCUCAACCGUGGAACAGCAGGGCAAACUGAUGGACUUGAGGCAAGUAGGGGCUGACGGAACAGUAGGUGGAGCGGUGAAAUGCGUAGAUAUCUACUGGAACGCCGAUGGCGAAGGCGACCACCUGGG